rnacentral:rRNA from 1 species
GAUGAACGCUGGCGGCGUGCCCCCCAAGGCAAGCCGAACGAAGCGCUUUAAUCGAUUUCUUCGGAUUGAAAUUUUAGGGACUGAGGGGCGGACGGGUCUUUAACGCGGGGGUAACCGGCCUCACACAGGGGGAUAACAGUGGGAAACGGCUGCUAAUACCGCAUAAGCGCACAGUACCGCAGGGUACAGGGUGAAAAACUCCGGGGGGGCGAGAUGGACCCGCGUCUGAUUAGCUAGUUGGCAGGGCACCGGCCUACCAAGGCGACAAUCAGUAGCCGACCUGAGAGGGUGACCGGCCACAUUGGGACUGAGACACGGCCCAAACUCCUACGGGAGGCAGCAGGGGGGAAUAUUGCACAGGGGGGGAAACCCUGAUGCAGCGACGCCGCGGGAGCGAAAAAGUAUUUCGGUAUGUAAAGCUCUAUCAGCAGGGAAAAAAAAAUGACGGUACCUGACUAAAAAGCACCGGCUAAAUACGUG